GCCUGCAGCUUGCUGCGGGUACUCGAGUGGCGAACGGGUGAGUAACACGUGGGUGAUCUGCCUUGCACUUCGGGAUAAGCUUGGGAAACUGGGUCUAAUACCGGAUAGGACAGCUGUUUAGUGUCAGUUGUGGAAAGUUUUUUCGGUGCAAGAUGAGCUCGCGGCCUAUCAGCUUGUUGGUGGGGUAAUGGCCUACCAAGGCGUCGACGGGUAGCCGGCCUGAGAGGGUGUACGGCCACAUUGGGACUGAGAUACGGCCCAGACUCCUACGGGAGGCAGCAGUGGGGAAUAUUGCACAAUGGGCGGAAGCCUGAUGCAGCGACGCCGCGUGGGGGAUGAAGGCCUUCGGGUUGUAAACUCCUUUCGACAGGGACGAAGCGUAAGUGACGGUACCUGUAUAAGAAGCACCGGCUAACUACGUGCCAGCAGCCGCGGUAAUACGUAGGGUGCGAGCGUUGUCCGGAAUUACUGGGCGUAAAGAGCUCGUAGGUGGUUUGUCGCGUCGUCUGUGAAAUUCCGGGGCUUAACUCCGGGCGUGCAGGCGAUACGGGCUGACUUGAGUGCUGUAGGGGAGACUGGAAUUCCUGGUGUAGCGGUGAAAUGCGCAGAUAUCAGGAGGAACACCGAUGGCGAAGGCAGGUCUCUGGGCAGUAACUGACGCUGAGGAGCGAAAGCAUGGGUAGCGAACAGGAUUAGAUACCCUGGUAGUCCAUGCCGUAAACGGUGGGCGCUAGGUGUAGGGGGCUUCCACGUCUUCUGUGCCGUAGCUAACGCAUAAGGGCCCCGCCUGGGGAGUACGCCGCAAGGCUA
rnacentral:rRNA from 1 species